GUGGGGAAUUUUCCGCAAUGGGCGAAAGCCUGACGGAGCAAUGCCGCGUGGAGGUGGAAGGCCUACGGGUCGUCAACUUCUUUUCUCGGAGAAGAAACAAUGACGGUAUCUGAGGAAUAAGCAUCGGCUAACUCUGUGACAG
rnacentral:rRNA from 1 species